rnacentral:lncRNA from 1 species
AUUCAUUGGUUUAGUGAACAUUUCGUAAACGUAUCCUCUUUGUACUGCCUCUUGUACCACACUAUGAAGAUAUCAGUGAGGAGGCAGUGGUGUUACUGGGUUUACUUCUUCCCUCUGUCUAUGCCAAACAUUGUAUUUCCUACCAUCAUUUCUGAAGUUGGUAGAUAGGCUGACUAUUCUGAUUCCAUUUAGAAAUUCAGAGGUUGCCAUUUCAUUCCUUGAUCUUUUCCCCUUCAUUCCUUCUUUCCUUCUUUCAUUGUUGAACCAUUUGCCCAGAAGAACCUUUGGCUGCUAUCUUGUUCUUCGUCCUCCUCCAUGUGAUAUUUUACAGACCUGAAGUUCCUUCCACCUGCAGCAGCUCUGACACUAUCAUGAGAAUCACCAGUGAUAUUCUGUAAAUGCCAGCCAAAAUCUAUCUGCAAGAACAUCUGCUCAACAGUGCAAAACUGAUGUAAUUACCAACCAUCAUCCUUUCUCCUCCUGCUGGGGUAACUGCUCCAAAGCAUGACUUUUUGCCCUGAGCUAACAAGAUCCAGAAACUCCCUGUUAUGUACAAAACCUGCCACUGGAAAUCCGUGUAGCUUCAACACAAAUUAUAACCCAGUCUCUCCACUACAUGAGUAAGUAACACCCCUGCGCCAUAGGGUCUCAGAGAAUCUUGCUCAAAACCUUGUGAGUCCAAGACCUCAUUCUCCAACCAGUACCUAUUUUUGUCAAACAUAAAUGGUCUUCAGAAGAAUGUGAAAGGGAAAGGGAAGAUAUAUCCGCUGUUCCCAUAAUAGUGUUUUGAAAGUACAACCACUGG